rnacentral:rRNA from 1 species
GAUGAACGCUGGCGGCGUGCCUAAUACAUGCAAGUCGAGCGAACAGACGAGGAGCUUGCUCCUCUGACGUUAGCGGCGGACGGGUGAGUAACACGUGGAUAACCUACCUAUAAGACUGGGAUAACUUCGGGAAACCGGAGCUAAUACCGGAUAAUAUAUUGAACCGCAUGGUUCAAUAGUGAAAGACGGUUUUGCUGUCACUUAUAGAUGGAUCCGCGCCGCAUUAGCUAGUUGGUAAGGUAACGGCUUACCAAGGAAACGAUGCGUAGCCGACCUGAGAGGGUGAUCGGCCACCCGGCAACUGAGACACGGUCCAGACUCCUACGGGAGGCAGCAGUAGGGAAUCUUCCGCAAUGGGCGAAAGCCUAAAGGAGCAACGCCGCGUUAGUGAUGAAGGUCUUCGGAUCGUGAAACUCUGUUAUUAGGGAAGAACAAAUGUGUAAGUAACUAUGCACGUCUUGACGGUACCUAAUCAGAAAGCCACGGCUAACUCCGUG